rnacentral:rRNA from 1 species
AAGUCGAGCGAAGCACUUUGCUUAGAUUCUUCGGAUGAAGAGGAUUGUGACUGAGCGGCGGACGGGUGAGUAACGCGUGGGUAACCUGCCUCAUACAGGGGGAUAACAGUUAGAAAUGACUGCUAAUACCGCAUAAGACCACAGCACCGCAUGGUGCGGGGGUAAAAACUCCGGUGGUAUGAGAUGGACCCGCGUCUGAUUAGCUAGUUGGUAAGGUAACGGCUUACCAAGGCGACGAUCAGUAGCCGACCUGAGAGGGUGACCGGCCACAUUGGGACUGAGACACGGCCCAAACUCCUACGGGAGGCAGCAGUGGGGAAUAUUGCACAAUGGGGGAAACCCUGAUGCAGCGACGCCGCGUGAGCGAAGAAGUAUUUCGGUAUGUAAAGCUCUAUCAGCAGGGAAGAAAAUGACGGUACCUGACUAAGAAGCACCGGCUAAAUACGUGCCAGCAGCCGCGGUAAUACGUAUGGUGCAAGCGUUAUCCGGAUUUACUGGGUGUAAAGGGAGCGUAGACGGAUGGGCAAGUCUGAUGUGAAAACCCGGGGCUCAACCCCGGGACUGCAUUGGAAACUGUUCAUCUAGAGUGCUGGAGAGGUAAGUGGAAUUCCUAGUGUAGCGGUGAAAUGCGUAGAUAUUAGGAGGAACACC